rnacentral:sRNA from 11 species
ACGUGCCAGGUUAACCGACCGUUAAGGUUUCCGAUUUAUAACAACAACCAUCCAGUCUUCUGGAUGCCGAGUGGCUCCUGUCCACUCUGUUUGACGCCUCCCUGUUAUCACUUCGAGCCGCCCCUCGGGCGGCUCUUUUUUU